UCAAGUGAAGAAGCGCAUACGGUGGAUGCCUUGGCAGUCAGAGGCGAUGAAAGACGUGGUAGCCUGCGAAAAGCUUCGGGGAGUCGGCAAACAGACUGUGAUCCGGAGAUGUCUGAAUGGGGGAACCCAGCCAUCACAAGAUGGUUAUCUUACACUGAAUACAUAGGUGUAAGAGGCGAACCAGGGGAACUGAAACAUCUAAGUACCCUGAGGAAAAGAAAUCAACCGAGAUUCCCUUAGUAGUGGCGAGCGAACGGGGACCAGCCCUUAAGUUGUAUUGAGAUUAGCGGAACGCUCUGGAAAGUGCGGCCAUAGUGGGUGAUAGCCCUGUACGCGAAAAUCCCUUUGCAAUGAAAUCGAGUAGGACGGGGCACGAGAAACCUUGUCUGAAUAUGGGGGGACCAUCCUCCAAGGCUAAAUACUACUGACUGACCGAUAGUGAACCAGUACCGUGAGGGAAAGGCGAAAAGAACCGCGGAGAGCGGAGUGAAAUAGAUCCUGAAACCGUAUGCGUACAAGCAGUGGGAGCCCACUUUGUUGGGUGACUGCGUACCUUUUGUAUAAUGGGUCAGCGACUUAUUUUCAGUGGCGAGCUUAACCGAAUAGGGGAGGCGUAGCGAAAGCGAGUCUUAAUAGGGCGUCUAGUCGCUGGGAAUAGACCCGAAACCGGGCGAUCUAUCCAUGGGCAGGUUGAAGGUUGGGUAACACUAACUGGAGGACCGAACCGACUACCGUUGAAAAGUUAGCGGAUGACCUGUGGAUCGGAGUGAAAGGCUAAUCAAGCUCGGAGAUAGCUGGUUCUCCUCGAAAGCUAUUUAGGUAGCGCCUCAUGUAUCACUGUAGGGGGUAGAGCACUGUUUCGGCUAGGGGGUCAUCCCGACUUACCAAACCGAUGCAAACUCCGAAUACCUACAAGUGCCGAGCAUGGGAGACACACGGCGGGUGCUAACGUCCGUCGUGAAAAGGGAAACAACCCAGACCGUCAGCUAAGGUCCCAAAGUCAUGGUUAAGUGGGAAACGAUGUGGGAAGGCUUAGACAGCUAGGAGGUUGGCUUAGAAGCAGCCACCCUUUAAAGAAAGCGUAAUAGCUCACUAGUCGAGUCGGCCUGCGCGGAAGAUGUAACGGGGCUCAAACCAUGCACCGAAGCUACGGGUAUCAUCUUAUGAUGAUGCGGUAGAGGAGCGUUCUGUAAGCCUGUGAAGGUGAGUUGAGAAGCUUGCUGGAGGUAUCAGAAGUGCGAAUGCUGACAUGAGUAACGACAAUGGGUGUGAAAAACCCCCACGCCGAAAGACCAAGGUUUCCUGCGCAACGUUAAUCGACGCAGGGUUAGUCGGUCCCUAAGGCGAGGCUGAAAAGCGUAGUCGAUGGAAAACAGGUUAAUAUUCCUGUACUUCUGGUUAUUGCGAUGGAGGGACGGAGAAGGCUAGGCCAGCCUGGCGUUGGUAGUCCAGGUUUAAGGUGGUAGGCUGAGAUCUUAGGUAAAUCCGGGAUCUUAAGGCCGAGAGCUGAUGACGAGUGUUCUUUUAGAACAUGAAGUGGUUGAUGCCAUGCUUCCAAGAAAAGCUUCUAAGCUUCAGGUAACCAGGAACCGUACCCCAAACCGACACAGGUGGUUGGGUAGAGAAUACCAAGGCGCUUGAGAGAACUCGGGUGAAGGAACUAGGCAAAAUGGCACCGUAACUUCGGGAGAAGGUGCGCCGGUGAGGGUGAAGCAUUUACUGCGUAAGCCCACGCCGGUCGAAGAUACCAGGCCGCUGCGACUGUUUAUUAAAAACACAGCACUCUGCAAACACGAAAGUGGACGUAUAGGGUGUGACGCCUGCCCGGUGCCGGAAGGUUAAUUGAUGGGGUUAGCGCAAGCGAAGCUCUUGAUCGAAGCCCCGGUAAACGGCGGCCGUAACUAUAACGGUCCUAAGGUAGCGAAAUUCCUUGUCGGGUAAGUUCCGACCUGCACGAAUGGCGUAACGAUGGCGGCGCUGUCUCCACCCGAGACUCAGUGAAAUUGAAAUCGCUGUGAAGAUGCAGUGUAUCCGCGGCUAGACGGAAAGACCCCGUGAACCUUUACUAUAGCUUUGCACUGGACUUUGAAUUUGCUUGUGUAGGAUAGGUGGGAGGCUUUGAAGCGUGGACGCCAGUCUGCGUGGAGCCAACCUUGAAAUACCACCCUGGCAACUUUGAGGUUCUAACUCAGGUCCGUUAUCCGGAUCGAGGACAGUGUAUGGUGGGUAGUUUGACUGGGGCGGUCUCCUCCUAAAGAGUAACGGAGGAGUACGAAGGUGCGCUCAGACCGGUCGGAAAUCGGUCGUAGAGUAUAAAGGCAAAAGCGCGCUUGACUGCGAGACAGACACGUCGAGCAGGUACGAAAGUAGGUCUUAGUGAUCCGGUGGUUCUGUAUGGAAGGGCCAUCGCUCAACGGAUAAAAGGUACUCCGGGGAUAACAGGCUGAUACCGCCCAAGAGUUCAUAUCGACGGCGGUGUUUGGCACCUCGAUGUCGGCUCAUCACAUCCUGGGGCUGAAGCCGGUCCCAAGGGUAUGGCUGUUCGCCAUUUAAAGUGGUACGCGAGCUGGGUUUAGAACGUCGUGAGACAGUUCGGUCCCUAUCUGCCGUGGACGUUUGAGAUUUGAGAGGGGCUGCUCCUAGUACGAGAGGACCGGAGUGGACGAACCUCUGGUGUUCCGGUUGUCACGCCAGUGGCAUUGCCGGGUAGCUAUGUUCGGAAAAGAUAACCGCUGAAAGCAUCUAAGCGGGAAACUUGCCUCAAGAUGAGAUCUCACUGGAACCUUGAGUUCCCUGAAGGGCCGUCGAAGACUACGACGUUGAUAGGUUGGGUGUGUAAGCGCUGUGAGGCGUUGAGCUAACCAAUACUAAUUGCCCGUGAGGCUUGACCAU
rnacentral:rRNA from 1 species